rnacentral:rRNA from 1 species
AUACGCUACGGCAGGCUCAUACAGGUCAAUCGUGGGGCAGCGCAGAGUAGCAAUACUUGGGCGGCGACCGGCAAACGGUGCGGAACACGUACACAACCUUCCUACAAGUGGGGAAUAGCCCAGAGAAAUUUGGAUUAAUACCCCGUAACAUAUAGAAAUGGCAUCAUUUUUAUAUUAUAGCUUCGGCGCUUGUUGAUGGGUGUGCGGCUGAUUAGAUAGUUGGCGGGGUAACGGCCCACCAAGUCUACGAUCAGUAGCUGAUGUGAGAGCAUGAUCAGCCACACGGGCACUGAGACACGGGCCCGACUCCUACGGGAGGCAGCAGUAAGGAAUAUUGGUCAAUGGACGAAAGUCUGAACCAGCCAUGCCGCGUGAAGGAUUAAGGUCCUCUGGAUUGUAAACUUCUUUUAUCUGGGACGAAAAAAGGCGAUUCUUCGUCACUUGACGGUACCAGAUGAAUAAGCACCGGCUAACUCCGUGCCAGCAGCCGCGGUAAUACGGAGGGUGCAAGCGUUAUCCGGAUUCACUGGGUUUAAAGGGUGCGUAGGCGGGCAGUUAAGUCAGUGGUGAAAUCCUAGAGCUUA